UGUUUUGGAUUUUGAUAUGUGGAAAAAUACACCUCUUAAUGUUCAACGUACCUCGCCCCAGGGAGGGAUGGACACGUACUACCUCGCCCUGAAUCCGCCAAAACUUCAUCUCCGAACCCUCUUGACCGAGGUAAACCAAGCCCAACGUUCGGUAUGGGAACUUCGCCCAGUCAUCUUCGCUGAGCUCGCCAGAGCCACAUAGAGUACUCAUCAGUUGGAUCCGAGCUAAGUGCCGGCCUCCUCCUCGCCCUUGGCGAGAAUAGAGUACUUGGAAUCUCCGUCUCUACUCCACCAGAAGCCUAUCUGUACAUGGUAACUAUCCUUGCGAGAUUUUCUCCUCCCGGCAAACCGACAUUACGGGAUACUCUCUAUAAGGCCCUCUUCCCAAAUAUAUCUCCUCUAUCUCCCGAGAUAUCCUCCAUAAUAAACCUCCGAGGACUUUUGCCGUGAUCCCUGGCACGGCCCAUUACUCCGUCUAUAAAAAGGGCCGCUCCCCCUAUUAACAAAGGUAUGCUUCUUACAAGCCCAACACUUCACAUUCUCUUCAGAGCCUCUUAUCUGCUGGUCGCACCUUGGUCCCUGAUCAUGCACGCGGAGGGGUUUGUGAAGCGGCCUCGGCCCCGGCCGUUUACUUUCGUUCGUCCUGUGGAGUCCGUCCCUCCAAUAUCCUAGGUCCAGUGCCGAGGAUACCGAGGCAAUAUUGACUGUUGGUUGCUCGCCCCAUUUUUUUUUAAGCCACAACAAUUUAGAAAAUGUAUCAUUUGGCAAAUGAAGAGUUUGGGCUUUCCAUUUGAUUGUCAGUAGGACAUCCUUUGAAUUUGGCUUUCAAUGUGACAGCUUUAUUGGACUGUUUUUGGACUCCAUUUCUUGGCUUUGUGGUAGCAUUUUCAUAUUGAAUAGGGAUAACUUCACCUACAUCUCCUGAGAUUUUUCAUAAUGGCAUUGACUUCUCCUGUAAUUUUAAAAAUGGCACUGUUUUCCCCUAUCAGAGUGAAAAUGGCCAUUAUGCCCCAGCCCCCACCCCCACCCACCCACCCACCCACUCGAUUUUUUUUUUAAGUUUUUUCUUUUACUCAUUUUAUUUAUUUUUUUAAUCUAAAUUAUUUAUUUUAUCAGUUUUUUGGGGGAUAAAUAAUUUUUUAUUAUAUGCUUGUGUUUUUUUAAAUUUUUUUUUAUUAAUUAUUUUAAAAAAAAUAAUAAAAAUAAAAUUUAGCAAUUUUCGCAUCUAUGUACUGAACUUUUGAUACAUGAUUUGGCAUAAUUUAUUUUGGAGUCAAGAUCUAAUGACCAAUGUUAGCCUCAAUCACUUGGGCAUUCUUAAAGUGUUAUGAACGAUAAAAAACUUAAAAAAAAACUCAUAAACCAAAUACUUAAAAAAUUUUAAAACGGCCAAUUGGCCGUUAAUUAAAUGGAUUUUAAGAUAUUUAUAAUUUAUACAUACAACUAAAAAGUUGGUAUAAUUUUUCAAAUCUAAUGAGCAGACUAUUUGUAAACUUAAUAAAUUUUGGUGUUUUUUUUUUUUAUUUUUCUUUUUAUUUUAUUUUUAAUUAAAAAUUAAUUAAGAAAAAAAACUAAAAAACCAAACAUCUACUAAAAAAAUAUUUAUCCCCCCCAAAAAAACUGAUCAAAAAAAUAAAUUAGAUUAAAAGUAUAAAUAAUUAAAAAAAAAAACUAAAAAAAUAUCGCGGGGGGGGGGGGGGAUUGGGGUCAGAGUCAUAAUGGCCAUUUUCACUCUGACAGGGGAGGUCAGUGCCAUUAUGAAAAACCUCAGUGGGUGUAAGUAAAGUCAUCUCUAUUGGAAUGUUAAAAACUAAUUGUGUAAUAGUUUUUAGAGAGCUGUUCAGACGGGCGGCGCGCCCCUCUAACAGGCUCUCUAAAAACUAUUAGCGCAACAUUUCAGCGCUCAAAAGCUCCCCGUCUUAACAGCUCUCUAAAAACUAUUUAACACAAUCUAGCGCACCGUCUGAACACUCAUCUAAAAACUAUUACAACAAGUCUAGCGCCGUUCUGAACAGCUAUCUAAAACCUAUUACACUCUCUAAAAACUAUUCCAACAAUGCUAACAGGUUUGGCAUUUUGCGCGCCCGUCUGAACAGCUCUCUAAAAACUAUUACAACAAUUCUAAACAAGGUUGGCAUUCAAUAUUUAGGUCAUCACAACUUCACACACACGCACACACGAAGUUGUGAUAACAUGGAACCACUCUUAAGGUAUGGCCACUUUGAACUCAUUACGUGAAAAUAUUACAUGCAACCACUCAUAAGUCGCGGAUAUCUGGUAAGACAAAUUAUUGUUGUUAUUCUUAGAAAAUACUAGUAGGCAUGAUUGAAUGGUACGAUCAUAGGCACAAAGUUCUCACUCAUAGCAGAGUUUGACAUCGAGGUAACAUAAGUGGCCUUACCUCAUUUUUUUGGGAACAGAUUGAUUCCCUUAACCCAAAUGUAUUUUCAAAGUGUCAUUAUGUUUGUCCAUAUGCAUUUUAAGUAGAAAGAAAUAGACU
rnacentral:lncRNA from 1 species